GCGGACGUGGCGGAACUGGUAGACGCGUCAGGUUUAGGUCCUGGUGGCCGAGAGGCCGUGGAGGUUCAAGUCCUCUCGUCCGCACUA
rnacentral:tRNA from 1 species